rnacentral:ncRNA from 1 species
CAAGAGUUAAAGGUUCCAAAAUUAUUGUUAAGUGAAAUUAAGGUAGUUUUUUUCAAAUACAACGAGUAAAUAGGCUUAGAAGCGGCCAUUUUUUAAAGAUCUCGUAACAGAGCACUGGUUUAUUAUAAAAGUUAAACGCACCGAAAAUAUAACGGAUCUGAAACAGUAUACCGAAACCUUG